rnacentral:lncRNA from 1 species
UUUCACCAAAUUUAUUCUUUAAAGAUUAAAAACAAUGAAACUAACUAUUGAAAGUCCCUUAGAUUGACUUGUCAUGGUGGGAUAAUCCUAAUGCAUUAUUACUAUUAUGUCAUUGUUAUUCUAGGCAGUCUGGAAAGGGCUGAGAUCCAAGGAGCUUGCGGCGGACUUUGAUGGACGUAUUGAACUCGGUAAAUUCGUGACCGGAUUGGAGAUUGUAAUCAUGGGUUUUGACUCCAAUCCAAGCUGACGCUGUGUUACCUCAUGGUCGAAAAGAAUAGCCAAUAUUUUCAAUGAUCCCAGUUUGAAAAGGUUCGUUGCGUUCUGCAAAUUUCUUAUGGUCACUGCUCCAUCAUGAACGAGCUCGGGGUUCAAAUUAUGUCAUAAAUGCUUAUAAUUUUUUAAAAUUUAAAUUUUAGUUAUUAUAUUGUAAUUUAUAUAAAUUUAAUUUUUAUAUCAUUUUAAUUUGAUAAUCUUAAUUUAGUUAUCAAUUUUAUUAAUUUUUUGUUAUUUAAAA